AACGCUGGCGGCACGCUAACACAUGCAAGUCGAACGGAGUUAUUCGGAGCUUGCUUGAAUAACUAGUGGCGACGGGUGAGUAACACGUGAGCAACCUGCCUUGAGAGUGGAAUAGCUUCUGGAAACGGAUGGUAAUACCGCAUAACAUUGCCGGACCGCAUGAUCUGGCAAUCAAAGAUUUAUCGCUCAAAGAUGGGCUCGCGUCUGAUUAGGUAGUUGGUGAGGUAACGGCUCACCAAGCCGACGAUCAGUAGCCGGACUGAGAGGUUGAACGGCCACAUUGGGACUGAGACACGGCCCAGACUCCUACGGGAGGCAGCAGUGGGGAAUAUUGCACAAUGGGCGCAAGCCUGAUGCCAGCGAUGCCGCGUGGAGGAAGAAGGUUUUCGGAUUGUAAACUCCUGAUCUGAGGGACGAUAAUGACGGUACCUCAGGAGAAAGCUCCGGCUAACUACGUGCCAGCCGCCGC
rnacentral:rRNA from 1 species